rnacentral:lncRNA from 1 species
GCUUCUUUGGAGACGCCUAUUUCUCGGAGUGUCCUGAACACUAGUGAAAGUAGUCGCUUGCUUUUAUCAGUUGUUCUUGGUGGAACAACUUCCCUUGACCCUUCCUGGAAGGUGGAAGCCUGGACUCAGUUUUUGCCGAGGGGGUCCUUCCUUUGGUGGUAGAGAGCUGGGCAGCACUGGUAGUGGCUAAUCCUUCGGUAAUAGAAUUUUUCCACUAAAGUGGCCAAAUAAAAUUUCUCCUCUUUUAGGAAUAAAAAAUGUGAUCUUUUGGCACCUCCAUGAUCGAUAUUAGUAGCAAGUAUCUUUAUUUUUGAAUUGAAGGGAUUUUUGUAAGAGGAAAAUUAGAAGGCAAUAACCUAGCUAAUCAGUGGCAUUUAUGUCUAUGUUAGAGGAUCGUGGGAUUUUUGUCUGGAUUUUUAGGUGUCUUUUUUACUUUAGUUGGGGAGUGAGUUUGCUUGAAUUUUAUGGAAUUUGAAUUCAUAUUAAUUGACAUCUUGGGUAAGUUGAUCUCAUCGGGAAUACUUGCGAGGUAACCAAAAGUAAGAGAACGAGGAUAUGGAUGCAGUAGAUUGUGCGCGAGAAGACGACUUCUAAAGUGUUGAUUGCCCCGGAUUAGGGUAAUAACAUUGCACUAUGCGACAUCAUUAACAUGAUCCCAGGAUGGGUGUUCAUGUUUUGUUUUUAGUUAUAUCCAUCAUAGUACGUGAUAGAUAAUUCCAUCAAAUAAAUG